rnacentral:lncRNA from 1 species
GUCGGGUCCAGGGGUGAGGGACAAGAGUCCCUUUCCUGAUCCAUCUUGCCCUGUCCUCCUGGACUCCAGGAGGAAGGAGGACCUGGACCACCUUAGGAACAACCUGUGGUUUUACAGAAGCACACUCGGCCUUGCCCCACCUCAGGGCCACAGCCCUCCUGGACAUACUGCAGGGCCCCUUGUGGGAGGCACUGGCCUCUCCUUGAAGGGAAGGAAGGAGACUCAACAUGCUGGCCAGAGGGGUGUGGAGGACCUCAAGGGCAGAGCCUCAGGCUGGGGCACAGUGGGCUGCUGGCCAGUGUCCCGUGGAGACACUGUGCCUUCCACUGGGCAGCUGCCCCAUAGCCGGGGAACAGGGUGGGGUGUUUUCUCCCGGGAGCAGCAGUGGUCCGUUGACUUUCCUUUGCAAACUCCACCUUGGUGUGUUUACCUUUUCCUGCUCUUUCAGUUGUCAGUGUGACUAGCGAGCUUAGGGGCUCCGUGGAAGCACGCGGGCAGCUGAGGGUGUGGAGGCCCAGCAAGGACGUGGCAGGAGGACACAGCACAGCCUCUCAAGCAGAUGUUCUUUUGUCCCCAUGGUGUCCGUCCUCCUGCUCCUCCCCAGCGUCCUUCCCGCUCUCUGGCUCCGUUUCAGCCUCUGUUCCACCUCCAGCCUCUGUCCCCUCUGCCUGUCCCUCUUCCACUUCUCUCUGGCCUCUCCGCCUUUCAGUUUCUCUUCCUCUGGGAUUUCCUACUUCGCUGUACAUCACACCCUCUCCAUUUUGUUUUGUUUUGCUGUUUUGCUUCUGCAUAUCCUUGAGGGGACUCCCCUAGUUCUUGACCAGUGUUGCUAUUCCCUGGCUCUCCCAGUUAGUUGCACCACUCUGCCAAUGCCACCUGCGUGUGGCCCCGGAUCAUGUGGGCUGUUGAUCUUGCAGCAGGAGAAGGCAGUGGUCACGGGAGCCUGCAUGGGCCAUGGGCUGAGGCCCGCUCUGUCCCCUGUGUUGGUUCAGGACACUGGAACCUCCCCAUGGUUACAGGAAAGGCAAGGAGGACCAGGAGGGAACUGGGCCUUUCCCUGGCCUCUGAACUCGGUUCUUUCCACCCCUUGUUUCUCUUUGUUACAAGUGGCAGUGACGAACUCAUUGAGGCAAGGCAGGGGCUAGCAGUUCACAGGGCCACUCUGCAGGAAGGGCAGGUGCCAGAGGACCCUCUCCCUGUCCCUCCUGGGCAGCUGUCACCUGCUACUGCUGGAGGCUGGUCCACACAUAGACCCUCUGCAGUGGCAUUUCUUGGCUUGGCUGCUUUGACCCUUCCUUCCUAGGUUCCAGUGUGACAACCCCAGAUGGGGACACUGAAGUCUCUCACCCACUCCUUUUAGCUACCGGGAAGGCAUGCAGGUGGCAGCCUGCAGCAGACCUGGGUUUGGGGUGGAGGGCAGGAGCAGGCUCCCUUCCAUCAGGAGAUGCUGGCCACCGGACAGGGGUGAUGGACAGGCAAUAACUGCACCCACAAGGCCUCCCCAUGUGACCCUCACAGGCCAUGAGAAGCACAUUAGUAUCGCUCACAUUUGCAGAAGCAAAGGCUCAGAAAGGUCAACCAACUUGCUGAGGCCACAAAACCACUGCGCAGCAGAGAGGCAGGAGUGAUUCAGAGCAGGGACUCCAGGGCCAGGGCUCUUGAGUUGGAAUUUGGGUUCUGCUACUUUCCAGCUCCAGACUCUAGGAAAGUGACUGACCCUUACUGGAGUCAGUUUGCCCGUCUGUCCAGUGGGAAUAAUCAUGAUAGUGAUCUGGGGCUACUGUAAGGACUGCAGGAGUGGACAUAAGUAGACCACUUAGAACAGCAUUGGCACGAUGAGAGCCCCAUAAAUGAUGUGUAUUGUGGUCACAGUGCUUUACAGUUUACAAAGAACCUUCACCUGGGUCAGCUCACUUGACCUUCAUAAUGGCCUUGGGAAGUGGAUGAGAGAAUGGACCAACUGAGUCAGCCGCACAGUGUGGUCUGUUCAGAAAACUCACUCUCCUGAGUAAAAGUUACCCAUCCAGGAGGGGACAUAAGCCCGCGCUCAGGGUCUGGAGAGGCUAUGGGCUUGGCUGGUGGGCAUUCACCCAGAGACAAGAGCCCUUUCCUGUGGCUGACUUUACAGAGCUCUCUGACUCCCUCCGGCCCUGAGUCGUGCGCCCUCCUCCUGCUGGACCAGGGUAGGAGCAAGGGCCACAUGGAAACUACUGAGGGGAAGUGGGUCCUUGAAAGAGCCAUAGUGC